AGCAGCCGCGGUAAUUCCAGCUCCAAUAGCGUAUAUUAAAGUUGUUGCAGUUAAAAAGCUCGUAGUUGAAUUUCGGGAUUAGUACGCUGGUCGUGCCUUUGGUAUGUACUGGUGUUACUGGUUCCUACCUUCUGAAGAACCGUCAUGUCAUUAAUUUGGUGUGGCGGGGAAUCAGGACUGUUACUUUGAAAAAAUUAGAGUGUUUAAAGCAGGCUCGCGCUUGAAUACAUUAGCAUGGAAUAAUGAAAUAGGACGUUUGACCCUAUUUUGUUGGUUUCUAGGAUCGACGUAAUGAUUAAUAGGGAUAGUUGGGGGCAUUAGUAUUCAAUUGUCAGAGGUGAAAUUCUUGGAUUUAUUGAAGACUAACUACUGCGAAAGCAUUUGCCAAGGAUGUUUUCAUUAAUCAAGAACGAAAGUUAGGGGAUCGAAGGCGAUCAGAUACCGUCGUAGUCUUAACCAUAAACUAUGCCGACUAGGGAUCGGAUGAUGUUAUUUUAAUGACUCAUUCGGCGCCUUACGG
rnacentral:rRNA from 1 species